AUGGUUAAAGAGAUGGUCAAAAGAAUGCUUGAUAGCCCGCAUGCUGAGGAGUUGCAACUUAGAAGACUUAAUUAUGGGGUGGUUACUCUGAUUCCUAAAACGAAAGAUGCUGCAACUAUCAACCAAUAUCGGCCAAUAUGUUUAUAUUAUGUUUGUUAUAAAAUUGUGACUAAAGUACUGACAAAUAGGCUUGAGAGAGUUGCAGAUAAGGUGGUGAGUAAGAGUCAGACGGCAUUUAUGAAAAACGGAAAUAUUUUAGAUGGGGUGGUCACUAUCCAUGAGGUGUUUCAUGAGCUUAGGAGGACUAAACAAGAGGGGGUCAUACUAAAGCUAGACUUUGAAAAAGCAUAUGACAGGGUGAAUUGGGAUUUUCUACAAGAGGUUUUGCUUAAAAAGGGUUUUCUUUAG
rnacentral:rRNA from 1 species